rnacentral:rRNA from 1 species
CCUACGGGAGGCAGCAGUGGGGAAUAUUGGACAAUGGGGGCAACCCUGAUCCAGCCAUGCCGCGUGUGUGAAGAAGGCCCUCGGGUUGUAAAGCACUUUCAGCGAGGAAGAACGCCUAGCGGUUAAUACCCGCUAGGAAAGACAUCACUCGCAGAAGAAGCACCGGCUAACUCCGUGCCAGCAGCCGCGGUAAUACGGAGGGUGCAAGCGUUAAUCGGAAUUACUGGGCAUAAAGCGCGCGUAGGUGGCUUGAUAAGCCGGUUGUGAAAGCCCCGGGCUCAACCUGGGAACGGCGUCCGGAACUGUCAAGCUAGAGUGCAGGAGAGGAAGGUAGAAUUCCCGGUGUAGCGGUGAAAUGCGUAGAGAUCGGGAGGAAUACCAGUGGCGAAGGCGGCCUUCUGGACUGACACUGACACUGAGGUGCGAAAGCGUGGGUAGCAAACAGGAUUAGAUACCCUGGUAGUCCACGCCGUAAACGAUGUCGACCAGCCGUUGGGUGCCUAGCGCACUUUGUGGCGAAGUUAACGCGAUAAGUCGACCGCCUGGGGAGUACGGCCGCAAGGUUAAAACUCAAAUGAAUUGACGGA